rnacentral:rRNA from 1 species
UUCCGGUUGAUCCUGCCGGAGGUCACUGCUAUUGGGAUUCGACUAAGCCAUGCGAGUCGAGAGGGUUCGGCCCUCGGCUGACGGCUCAGUAACACGUGGAUAAUCUGCCCUUAGGUGGAGGAUACCCUCGGGAAACUGAGAAUAAUACUCCAUAGGUCUAGGAUGCUGGAAUGCAUCUAGACUGAAAACUCCGGUGCCUAAGGAUGAGUCUGCGGACUAUCAGGUUGUAGUCAGGGUAAUGACCUGACUAGCCUACGACGGAUAUGGGUUGUGAGAGCAAUAACCCAGAGAUGAUAUCUGAGACACGAUAUCAGGCCCUACGGGGCGCAGCAGGCGCGAAAACUUCACACUGUGCGAAAGCACGAUGAGGGAAUCCCAAGUGCCAGCUCGUAAGAGUUGGCUGUUUUUCUGUCUAAAACACAGAGAGAGUAAGAGCUGGGUAAGACGGGUGCCAGCCGCCGCGGUAAUACCUGCAGCUCGAGUGGUGACCGUUGUUAUUGGGCCUAAAACGUCCGUAGCCGGUUUAGUAAAUGCCUGGGUAAAUCGUGUAGCUUAACUAUACGAAUUCCGGGUAGACUGCUAAACUUGAGACCGGGAGAGGCUAGAGGUACUCCUGGGGUAGAGGUGAAAUUCUGUAAUCCUGGGGGGACCACCAGUGGCGAAGGCGUCUAGCUAGAACGGAUCUGACGGUGAGGGACGAAGCCCUGGGGCGCAAACCGGAUUAGAUACCCGGGUAGUCCAGGGUGUAAACGCUGCUUGCUUGAUGUUAGUCGGGCUCCGAGCCCGAUUAGUGUCGGAGAGAAGUUGUUAAGCAAGCUGCCUGGGAAGUACGGUCGCAAGACUGAAACUUAAAGGAAUUGGCGGGGGAGCACAGCAACGGGUGGAGCGUGCGGUUUAAUUGGAUUCAACGC